ACCUUUUGGCCAGUUUCAGUGUCCCUGAAGGAUGGAGGAGGGCUGGGCUUCCAUGGAGCCUGAACCGCAGGUGCCAUCAGCACUUCCUGGGGCUCUGGACAUGUCAGCAGCUGCCCACCAAGGCCUGGAAGGUGUGGACUUGUUGCGUUUGAGAUGCCCCUUAGACACCAGUGGAGACAUCUGUGGUCAGUUGCACAAAGAUGGGGUCUCUUCUAUUUUCCCACGAUGGUCUCCA